UACGAAGGGAGCUAGCGUUGUUCGGAAUCACUGGGCGUAAAGUGCACGUAGGCGGAUGUGUCAGUCAGGGGUGAAAUCCCGGAGCUCAACUUCGGAACUGCCUUUGAUACAGCACGUCUUGAGUCCGAUAGAGGUGGGUGGAAUUCCUAGUGUAGAGGUGAAAUUCGUAGAUAUUAGGAAGAACACCGGUGGCGAAGGCGGCCCACUGGAUCGGUACUGACGCUGAGGUGCGAAAGCGUGGGGAGCAAACAGG
rnacentral:rRNA from 1 species